rnacentral:rRNA from 1 species
UACGUAGGGUGCAAGCGUUGUCCGGAAUUAUUGGGCGUAAAGGGCGCGUAGGCGGUCUGCUAAGUUGGAUGUGAAAACUCUGGGCUUAACCCAGAGCCUGCAUUCAAAACUGACAGGCUAGAGUUCUGGAGGGGGAAGCGGAAUUCCUGGUGUAGCGGUGAAAUGCGUAGAUAUCAGGAGGAACACCGAUGGCGAAGGCAGGUCUCUGGGCAUUAACUGACGCUGAGGAGCGAAAGCUGGGGAGCGAACAG